rnacentral:misc_RNA from 1 species
UCUGUCAUCAUGAUUUCGAGCCGAGCUGGAUCGCAGGUAUUUCGAUCGGCGCGAUUAACGCUGCGAUCAUCGCCGGCAAUGAGCGCGAAAAGCGGGUCGGCAAGCUGAAGGAGUUCUGGGAAAUGGUGUCGUCGGGUUCGCCGAUGCCAUGGGCUCCGUUCGUGCAGGGCGACCACGCGCGCUCGGUCUUCAAUGAGACCAGCGCCGCGCUGAUCGCGACCUUCGGAG